UGUUGUUGUUGUCCAGGGAAGCAACACAGCAAUGUGAGAACGUCAAGAGCCGAUCUCAUAAAGCAGGAACCCCACAGCUGUGUUUCUAUGAAGUGAACGACAUCAACAGUCAUAUUUUUGAGUGUCGCACUGUGACAGAUGGCUCUGUCUGUGUAUGGAUGGAAACUUUACGGUGAUGUGAAGAUUAGAAGAUGGUCAGCACAAACUGGUGGAGCUGAACACCCACACAGGUUUGAGUGACGUCUCACUAAAGAACAUUUACCGGUAUGGAAUAGUUUUUCUUCUGAUUUACAUCUUGCAAUAAUUAUAACAGUACUGUAGGCUACAGCU